rnacentral:rRNA from 1 species
GAUGAACGCUGGCGGCGUGCUUAACACAUGCAAGUCGAACGGAAAGGCCCUGCUUGCAGGGUACUCGAGUGUCGAACGGGUGAGUAACACGUGGGUGAUCUGCCCUGUACUUUGGGAUAAGCCUGGGAAACUGGGUCUAAUACCGAAUAUGACAAUUGUUUGGAUGCGAUUGUGGAAAUCUUUUGCGGUAUGGGAUGAGCUCGCGGCCUAUCAGCUUGUUGGUGGGGUAAUGGCCUACCAAGGCGUCGACGGGUAGCCGGCCUGAGAGGGUGUACGGACAAAGUGGGACAGAGAUACGGCACAGACUACUACGGGAGGCAGCAGUGGGGAAUAUUGAACAAUGGGGGAAAGACUGAUGCAGCGACGCAGCGUGGGGGAUGACGGCCUUCGGGUUGUAAACACCUUUCGCAACCGACGAAGACUUUUGGUGACGGUAGGUGGAGAAGAAGCACGGGCUAACUACGUG